AUCACACACAUACACAAAAGGGAUUUUUUCCAUUGAUAUAGGAGAUGACACUCUAUGGAAGAAGAAAGCAUAAAAACAUACAUAUAGCCAUAGACCCUGAAAGAAGGGGAAAUUGAAUCAUCUUCUCCAUUAUAUCAUAUAUGUGCACACACACAGAACACUCACCAGUAAGAGGGAAAGAUCGACAGAGAGGGAGAAAGGGUGAAGAGUCAAAUUAGAGGAGAGAUAAGAGAGGGAAGAGAUCGACAAUUGAGAGAUUCAUCGCCGUCGGAGCUCUAGUGAAAGCACCAGUUUCACCCUUCUUAAACUCCUAAAUCCCUCGAAAUCAGGUCUAAAACCCCCUAAAUCCUUAUACCAGCACCCGGUUAUUCUGCCACCACAAUUGUUACUUUUCGAGAAUGUAAACCAGUGAGCUCUAGCCGGAUAUUUUAUUAGCUCAGGUGGUAAUCCAUCGAAAACUGAGCAAACUAGACAUGUUCGUAUGAAACCUGGUGUGGGUCAUUCUCUUUUAGCAAUUUUAGUUCAAAUUAGUGAAAAAUAGGAUCAGGUUAGAUAGUUGGGUUGUUCGAUUGGCGAGUUUUCUUGUGGAGGUUGAUUCUAAAAUUUCUCUACUGGUUCUGAUAUUUCUUCAAGUUACGUUUCAUUUCUUGACUCGUUUGAGGUAGAUUUUAGGUCAUAUUUGAGGUUCAAGAUUCAUAAUGCUCCAUUCAAUCCUGUAAUUCAACUUUUUCAAAGCAAAAUUUGAGAUGUAUUAAUUCGUUGGGGAAUGGCCCAAAGGUAUAUUGUACUUAUCUACUAAAGAAUGCCCCAAAGUAUUUUGUGCUCGGAGGACGUCCGUAACGAACACUCGAGGCAUCAGUUAAAGCGUUGGAACGUAGUCUAGGACUAGUGUAGGUUAGCAUAGGUUUACAUUUCCACAUUUUUCUAUUUCGAGUUGUAAUAAUUGGAAUGAACAUUAUAUUUUUUAA